AUGGUGGCCUGGGCGUCUGACCCUUUUUGGAUUCUCGGUGCGCGCGAAAUAGAGGCGCACCGUUCACCACUAGUGACUAGUGAGCUGCGUACUACCAGCUGCGAAGCAGAGCAGGUGAGCAGCGGCGGCCGGCCGGCCGGCCCCCGUCACGCGGUCACGGCUAGGCGCCCCAGCCUGGACGGGCGGGGCUUGAAGUCGCGGCAGCGGCGGUGGUCGUGGCCGUCGGAGGACGGCGGGCUGACCAGCCGCAGCAGGUGCGCGCGCAGGACGAACCGGCCCUUGCCGGUCCUGCCGCCCGUGCCGACACCGCCGCUCCUGACGAUCCCCUCGACGCGCACCGCCGCGCUCGCGCCAGAAGCGGCCGACUGA
rnacentral:rRNA from 1 species